rnacentral:rRNA from 1 species
AGGAAGGCAGCAGGCGCGCAANUUACCCANUCCCGGCACGGGGAGGUAGUGACGAAAAAUAACAAUACGGGACUCUUUCGAGGCCCCGUAAUUGGAAUGAGUACACUUUAAACCCUUUAACGAGGAUCUAUUGGAGGGCAAGUCUGGUGCCAGCAGCCGCGGUAAUUCCAGCUCCAAUAGCGUAUAUUAAAGUUGUUGCAGUUAAAAAGCUCGUAGUUGGAUCUCAGGCGCAGGCGGGCGGUCCGGCUCGCGCCGGUUCACUGCCCGUUGUCUCCUGCCCUACCGUCUGUCGGCUCUCUCCCGUGGGUGCUCUUCACUGAGCGUCCCGGGUGGCCGGCGCGUUUACUUUGAAAAAAUUAGAGUGUUCAAAGCAGGCCUCAGCUGCCUGAAUAAUGGUGCAUGGAAUAAUGGAAUAGGACCUCGGUUCUAUUUUGUUGGUUUUCGGAACUGGAGGUAAUGAUUAACAGGGACAAACGGGGGCAUUCGUAUUGCGGCGUUAGAGGUGAAAUUCUUGGAUCGCCGCAAGACGAGCUACUGCGAAAGCAUUUGUCAAGAAUGUUUUCAUUAAUCAAGAACGAAAGUCAGAGGCGCGAAGACGAUCAGAUACCGUCGUAGUUCUGACCAUAAACGAUGCCGACUAGCGAUCCGCAGGAGUUGCUUCGAUGACUCUGCGGGCAGCUUCCGGGAAACCAAAGUGUUUGGGUUCCGGGGGAAGUAUGGUUGCAAAGCUGAAACUUAAAGGAAUUGACGGAAGGGCACCACCAGGAGUGGAGCCUGCGGCUUAAUUUGACUCAACACGGGAAAACUCACCCGGUCCGGACACUGUAAGGAUUGACAGAUUGAUAGCUCUUUCUUGAUUCGGUGGGUGGUGGUGCAUGGCCGUUCUUAGUUGGUGGAGCGAUUUGUCUGGUUAAUUCCGAUAACGAACGAGACUCUAGCCUAUUAAAUAGUUCGCCGGUCCCUCGAUGCGCCGGCGCAACUUCUUAGAGGGACGAGUGGCGUUUAGCCACACGAGAUUGAGCAAUAACAGGUCUGUGAUGCCCUUAGAUGUCCGGGGCCGCACGCGCGCUACACUGAAGGAAUCAGCGUGGAUGCCUCCCUGGCCCGAAAGGGUUGGGAAACCCGUUGAAUCUCCUUCGUGCUAGGGAUUGGGGCUUGUAAUUCUUCCCCAUGAACGAGGAAUUCCCAGUAAGCGCGAGUCAUAAGCUCGCGUUGAUUACGUCCCUGCCCUUUGUACACACCGCCCGUCGCUACUAUCGAUUGAGCGGUUCAGUGAGGGCCUCGGAUUGGUCUCGGUCUGGUACGCAAGUCCCGGCACCGCUGGCCGAGAAGAAGCUCGAACUCGAUCGCUUGGAGAAAGUAAAA